rnacentral:rRNA from 1 species
UACGGAGGGUGCAAGCGUUAUCCGGAUUCACUGGGUUUAAAGGGUGCGUAGGCGGGCAGGUAAGUCCGUGGUGAAAUCUCUGAGCUUAACUCAGAAACUGCCAUGGAUACUAUUUGUCUUGAAUAUUGUGGAGGUAAGCGGAAUAUGUCAUGUAGCGGUGAAAUGCUUAGAUAUCGUCAAGAACACCUAUAGCGAAGGCAGCUUACUAGGCUGUAACUGACGCUGAGGCACGAAAGUGUGGGGAUCAAACAGG